rnacentral:rRNA from 1 species
AUGGAGGGUGGCCGGGUGCUUACGGUUCUCCUCCUGGUGCUCCUGCUGGUCGGCCUCGCUGGCUCGAGCCCUCCGCCGGAGCCGGUGGUCUGUGCCCACGGCACGUCCGAUUGCACUGUCUCCCUCGGCGUCCUGGGCGUCGUUUCCCAGGUUACACUGGCCUUGGAGCCGAUGUUCAAGCGGUCGGUGACGUUCGUGACACGCAAUGACUCUGACAUGGCAGAGCAGGCCGUCGUGUGGGGUGGCCUCCAUGAAUUUGGCGAUAUGGCGUGGCUGCCACAGCAGCGCAAUGUUAUUUACCGCAAGGACAAUCGCGUGGCCAUCACGUCAGUGGGUAACGACCUCAAUGACUACCUGGCCUUGCGAUCCAGUCCGACGGCCGACCUCAUCAGCGGCAGAGUCAUGCACGAGCUUCUUGAGAAGAAGAACAACACCGUCGCUCGGUGCAAGGAGGCACCCACGUCUGCAUCGCUGUUUGAGAAGGCAGCAUACGGCUUUACAAACAACGACAGCUUGUUCAUGGGGUAUCCGGUGGUAGGAUUCCAGCACCGCAUCCAAGCAUCCGGUUCGUGUCUCGAAAACCCAGAAGACGCACUCCUCACUACGUGUCCGUGGGAUCCCCGCAUCCGGGGAAUCUUCUUCUACAACAAUGCCUACAGCAUCGCGCUCUCUAGGGUGCCAGCAUUCAUCGCCGACAUGAAGCAGCUCCGUAAUAGCAACCCGAAGGCCUUCUGCGGAAUCGACGCCAGUUUGGGUAUUCUCCUCCGCUAUAUCAAGGCAUCCUCUGCCUACCUCGGCAAGCCGGAGGACUCGGUCGACUUUGAUAUAACCUACUACCGGAGCUACACCAAGGGUGAGCCCAACCCACACUCUGACGUGCUCGACGAACUCCAACAGAUGGCGCUACACAAGUAUGGCGCCAUCCCUCACUGGGGCAAGAACCGCAACUUUGCCUUUGAAGGCGCCAUUGCCAAGUACCCCGAGGCUGGCAAGUUCCUAGAGGUAAAGGGCAGGUAUGACCCUGAUGGGAUCUUCUCCAGUGAAUGGAGUGACCAGGUGCUCGGCAUUAAUGGGAGCCCGAUCAUCGUUGAGAAGGGUUGCGCCAUUGAGGGCCUUUGCGUCUGCUCAGAAGACUCGCAUUGUGCACCGGAGCAGGGCUACUACUGCCGCCCUGGGAAGGUGUACAGGGAGGCGAGGGUCUGCUCGUUCCAACCCAAUUGA